UACGUAGGGGGCAAGCGUUGUCCGGAAUUAUUGGGCGUAAAGAGCGCGUAGGCGGUCCGAUAAGUCGGCUGUGAAAGUCCAGGGCUCAACCCUGGAAAGCCGGCCGAUACUGUCGGACUAGAGUCCGGAAGAGGCGAGUGGAAUUCCCGGUGUAGCGGUGAAAUGCGCAGAUAUCAGGAGGAACACCAAUUGCGAAGGCAGCUCGCUGGGACGUUACUGACGCUGAGACGCGAAAGCGUGGGGAGCAAACAGG
rnacentral:rRNA from 1 species